rnacentral:rRNA from 1 species
AAUAUAAGAGUAUAGUUUAAUUGGAAAAAUAGGAAGCUUCAACCUUCAAAUUCUUGGUUCAAACCCAAGUACUCUUGAAAUAAUUAUAACCAAUAUCUAUUAAUAAUAGUAUAUAAAAUGAAGAUAACACCGGAUUAGGGCCGGGAGGAUAGGCAUCUCGUUUGGGUCGGGAACCAGUUAUGUUCGAAUCAUAAUAAUCCGAAUUUUAGAACUAUUAGAAAUAUAGUAUGAUUAACCAUACGUAUCAAUUUAGAUAUGAAGUUCAAUAUUGAUAUAUUUUACCUUUCCCUUAAUCUCUAAUCCCUUUGGGAUAUGGAUAAGAUGGAAAUAGAAAUAUUGAAAUAAGGACUUUGGUUACAAAAAUUAAUGAUAUAUAACUAUUACUUAUAAAUAUAUAAGUAUAUAAAGAAACUAUUAUGGAAUUUAAGCUAUGUAUUAAAGAGAAUUAUUUAUAUAUAUAGGAUAUUUAUCCUAUAAUUAUAUGAACUCUAAGAGAAAUUUUAUAAUAAACGAAGUGAAUUGAAAUAUCUUAGUAACUUUAGGAAAAUAAAUCAAAAGAGAUUCUAUGAAUAGCGUGAGCGAAAGUAGAGAAGCCUAAUAAGUAAAACGGUUCAAAACUGUUUAAACAUUAUGGGGAACCUUCCUCAAAGGCUAAAUAUAAUACAUAAGCGAUAGUGAAAAGUACCAUGAGGGAAAUAAAAUAAAAAUAGUAGUUUUAUAAGCAGUUCGAAAUAAAGAACGUACCUUUUGCAUAAUGGGUCACCAAGUUAACGUUAGAUGCGAGAUAACACGUAGUUAAACCGAACGUUAAAAUAACGAUAUAGUGUCUAAAGUUAGACCCGAAGCCUGGUGAUUUUACCAUAGUCAGGAUUAUAAAAGUCCGAACCGGUGAUUGUAGCAAAAAUCUCGGAAGAACUGUGGUAGGUGUAGUGAAAGACAACACUGACUAGGAUAGCUGGUUUUCUGCGAAACCUAUAAUAGUAGGCAGUUUAAGUAAAUAUCUUAGCAGGUACAGAAUUUAAUCUCAGACAAGACAUUUCAAAUGUUUUAUAUUGUACAAAUUGGGGGAUCAUGAAGAUUUUAUCAGUGAGUAUGUAGACUCGGAAUGGCAAAGAUAUAUCUUAAACUAUCAGACAUAGAAUGAUAAGGUUGUAUGUCGAAAGGGAAACAGCCCAGAACAAGAGUUAAGGUUCCUAAAUUAUUUGUUGAGUGAAAAUAAGAAGGUUUUUAUUUAAGUCGACAAGGAGAUAGGCUUAGAAGCAGCCACAAUUUUAUGACCUCGUAACAGAGCGCUUGUUAAAUUAUAAAAGCGUCGAAAAUAUAACGGAUCUAAACAAUAUACCGAAACCUUGUCCAUAAUAUAUUAUAAUAAAUAUGUUUAUUGUAAUUAAAUGGGGUAGCAGAACGUUGAGCUAAAGUAUGAGUUUUAUUUUUUAAAUAAAAUUAUAGUAUUUAACUCAAGUGAGAAUGGUGACAUGAGUAACUAAAAGAAAAUUUUCCGCCUUAAGCUUAUGGAUGUAAUUAAGUAACGGCCUCUAAGUUUAUAUAAUCUAAAGAUUUAAACGAUGAGAAAAUCUUUAUUACUAAAAACAACAUUUUGGUGCAAAAUGUGCUGGAAAAAUAGUAAUAUGUUUGUUAUUUAAUAACAAAUAAAAUAACCGUACCUAGAAUCUGAAACAAGUAAGCUAGUAGAGAAUACGAAGGCGUAAAUGAGCUAACAAUCAUAAAGGAACUCGGCAAAUUGACUACCGUAACUUCGGAAUAAGGAGGGCUCAUUAUUCUUGAUGAAUAUCAAGUAAAGAGGAAGAAGCAUGAAAUAAUGUUGUACGACUGUUUAAUUAAAACACAGCACUUUGCUGAAAGAUUAAAAAUCUAAGUAUAAAGUGUGAUAUCUGCCCGGUGCCGGCUGGUUAACAGACAUAAUUGAAUAUACUAAUAUUUGAUGUGGACGGAAACCCCGGUUAAAGGCGGCCUUAACGUGAGGGUCCUAAGGUAGCGAAAUGCCUUGGCCGUUAAAUGCGGUCUUGCAUGAAUGGUGUAACGAUACAACAGCUGUCUCUAUGAUUGACUCAGUGAAAUUGGAAUAGCUGUGCAGAUACAGCUUACCUCUAGUUAGACGAGAAGACCCUAUGCAGCUUUACUGUCACUAAUUAUAGAGUAUGAUAAACGAUUUUCAGAAUAUAAGGUAAUUGACAAACAUGACAAUGAGAAACCUUUAUUCUUUUUUCAUAUGAAUGAAUUGGUUUAGGAUUAUGAGUAAUUUGUAGUUAAUUUUAUGGGCCUAGCUUAUGCUUGGUCACAUAUUUUAAUUUAUAGCUCAUUUUAGUAAAUCAACCUAAUUCAACUUAUUUAUUUUUAAAAUUAGUAAGUACCCUUUGGUAAGGAACUAUCGCUAGGGGACAGUUUAUGUGGGGCACAGACCCUGUAAAGAGUAAACAGGAGUGUCUAAAAAUUUAUAAUUAUUUUGUUUGCUAUUUUGAGUAGUUUAACUAUUUUUAAUCGUAUAAAAUUAAAUAUAUUUGCAUUUUAUGUAUAUAUAUUUAAGAUUAGGUAAGAUUUUCACUAUAUAGAAAUUAGAGAUAAUUGAGAAUAUUAUGAAGUUUUCUAAUAUUUUCUAGCUAUUAUUUAUAAUAGUUAUGUGUUUAAUAUCUAAAAAGCUCAACGGCUUAAUCUUGCCUUACUGUUUGAUUAUCGACAAAUCUUACAGUUGCGUAAGCAGGGCAUAGGAUCACAAGAUGCCACAAGGAAAGAUCUUGGAUUAUUGGAAAAGCUACGCUAGGGAUGUUUGUCCUUUAAUAUUUUAUUUAUGUGGGGUUUGCUAAGCACGCCUCCUAUAAAAUUAUUAAUAUAAAUUGGGUAAAUUUCAAGAAUUACUAAUAAUGAUAGUAAACUUGAAGCGAAGUUUAUCUUAGCAUAUAUAUAAGAUAAAAACGUUCAACG